ensembl:lncRNA
GAUGAGUCAUGGAGAGGGCGAUGGUAUUGGCUAAGUCAGCCGCCGGUCACUGCAGAAGGAUAACCUUUCAAUUGGACUUCCCUGGCGGCCCAGCGGUUAAAAAUCUGCCUUGCAAGGCUGAGUAUUUGGGUUUGAGCUCUCCUUGGGGAACUAAGACCCUACAUGCCUCGUAACUACUGAGAGAGUGAAUUCUCAGAACUUUUGCCACAUGAAGUUCUGAGUAUCUGAAGCCUGGUCCCUGGUCCUGAAGCAAAACCUUCUUUGGAGAUCCCAAAUCUGACAUCAUUCACUGUAAGCUAUCCCUACGGAGCCUGCAUGCCACAACUAGAGAGUCCAUGUGCUGCAGCGAAGAUCUGGGGAGCCACAACUAAGACCUGAUGCAGCCAAAUAAAC